UUGGAGGGCAAGUCUGGUGCCAGCAGCCGCGGUAAUUCCAGCUCCAAUAGCGUAUAUUAAAGUUGUUGCAGUUAAAAAGCUCGUAGUUGAACUUCAGACCUGACCGGGUGGUCCGCCUAACGGUGUGUACUGUCUGGCCGGGCCUUACCUCUUGGUGAGCCGGCAUGCCCUUAAUUGGGUGUGUCGGGGAACCAGGACCUUUACCUUGAGAAAUUAGAGUGUUCAAAGCAGGCUUACGCCGGAAUACAUUAGCAUGGAAUAAUAAAAUAGGACGUGCGGUU
rnacentral:rRNA from 1 species